CGGAUUGGCGGAGAGUGGCGCACGGGUGAGUAACACAUGGCUGACCUGCCCUUCAGCGGGGGACAGCCAGUGGAAACGCUGGCUAAUACCCCAUACGUUCACACGGAUUAGAAGCGUGUGAAGAAACUUCCGGGGCUGAAGGAGGGGGCUGUGGCCCAUCAGCUAGUUGGUAGGGUAACGGCCUACCAAGGCGAGGACGGGUAGGGGGCCUGAGAGGGUGACCCCCCACACGGGUACUGAGACACGGACCCG
rnacentral:rRNA from 1 species